rnacentral:rRNA from 1 species
AUGAGUUUGAUCCUGGCUCAGAAUGAACGCUUGCGAUAGGCUUAACACAUGCAAGUUGAACAAGAGUGUAUUGCUUUUGUAGCGAACGGGUGCGUAAUGUGUAGGAAUUUACCUUUUUAAAGGAGUGAAAUGCUUUGAGAAAACAAGUUGUUGUAAGAAGAUAAGCCUACAUAAGAUUAGAUAGUUGGUGUGGGAAGGGCUCACCAAGUCGAAGAUCUUUAGCUGAUCUUAGCGGAUGAUCAGCCACACUGGGACUGAGACACGGCCCAGGCUCCCAUGGGAGACAGCAGUGAGGAAUCAUGGACAAUGCACGAGAGUGUGAUCCUGCUAUAUCGCGUGAGUGAUGAAGGGUAUAUUGCUUGUAAAACUCUUUCAGCAAGAACAUGCUUGCAUGUAUAUGGAUAGUGACGUGUCUUGCAUAAGAAGCCCCGGCUAAUAUCUGUGCCAGCAGCCGCGGUAAUACAGAAGGGGCAAGUGUUAUUCGGAAUAAUUGGGCGUAAAUGGCGUGUAGGUUGUGUUUCGUAGCUUUUUGUUAAAUCCUUAUUGUUAUACUAAGUAAAGCGAAAAGAACGGUUACACUGGAGACUGAGAGAGGAAAGGGGAAUUUCUAGUGGAGAAGUUAAAUUCUUAGAUAUUAGAAGGAACACCAAAAGCGAAAGCACCUUUCUGGCUUAGAUCUGACACUGAGGCGCGAAGGCGUGGGGAGCGAAGCCGAUUAGAUACCGGCGUAGUCCACGCAGUCAACGAUGCUG